rnacentral:pre_miRNA from 1 species
ACAAGUUCCGAACAGUCGGUCCAUCGAGCAAUUACACCUGCUCGGUGGAAGAUCUUCCCUCCGUUGU